UACAUCGUGAAACGAGGUUGGGCGAAAUAGUUGGUUGCUAAAUUAUAUUAUAUUCCUGUGAUUUUGUUGUUACAUCGUGAAACGAGGUUGGGCGAAAUAGUUGGUUGCUAAUUUAUACUUAUAUUCCUGUGAUUUCAAGUACCGAAUUUCACUUCAUAUCUUUGAUUGAACUUCGUAACAUACAUGCAUACUGUCAUUCAUUCAAAGUUGACUUAGCGCUCAGUCAAUUUCCAUCCAAUAGACCCAUAAUGCUGUCAAAACCUAAAACUUAUGUUUGAAGCUCACAUAUAGUGGAAUACAAAUCUGCCGAGUUAAGGACUUUUCUGAAUCUCGCAAUUUUGGUGGUGUAACCUGCAACAUCAUGUUUGCUGUGAUGGCUGUUUCUACUUCUGUUUAGAAGGCAUCCCAGCUGAGAGAUAGAGUUUCAGUGACAUGAAGAGUGUGAUGUGAAUAAUGCUGUGUGUAUGCAUACAUGUUCCAGUUCUGCUUGACACCUUACUAAAUUCAUCACCCAAAUGAUAAAGGUGAGCAUCAAUACCACCUAUCACCAUGCUACUAUAACACUUCAUGACACUUUAUUUAGCAUCAGGAAAUGUAUUUCAACAUGAGGAGUAAGACUGUUUGUUCCUGUGAUUUCCAUUUUUACGGUUUUU